ensembl:lncRNA
CUAAACUGUGCUUUGAGAGGAUCCUGAUAAUUUCCCAGUACAGCUGGGCCACAGGACCACAUGGUCUGCAAACAGCUUCCGCCACUGAGUUCCCUGCACUAAGUCCUUCAGCUGGAAGUCUCUGCCCUCCUCUUGAAGUUAAAUAAUCCUGUGGCUCAUUUUGUGACAUCCAGGGGAUCUUGCAGAGUUCCUCACUGUGACAGUGCGAGUUGCUGCUGCAGUCAGAACAGCGGGAGAGCUCAGGGAGGGAGGAUUUGAGGCAUGGUGCGGUGCUGCCUCCAGUCUUGGCUGGUGGGACAGGAUGUGGGGACUCCUUCAACAGCCUAAAAAGGGUGUGAGCUGAAUGUCUGUGCGCUGCUCAAGCAUACUGUUCUCUGAAGCAUAAUCUCUCCACCAUCGGUCCUUUGCAUCACCCACCUGACAGGCUAUGGCAACUUCAUGAGCCCUAAGCAGCCACUGAAAACAUUAAGUUUGCAGACCUCAAGCACGUGCAGUUUCAAGCUCUGGGGAGCAGCAAGAAGAGCUGCACCAGUGAAACUCAUACCUACUGCAGCCCAGCUGCUGACUGUUAGCCGGAACUGGGGCGCAAACCAUUCCCAUUAAGUGGACACAGAAUGCAGAACAGCCAUGCUAAUUUCAGUAAUUUCUCCCAUGACUGCUUUUCCUCUGCUUUAUCCACUUAACUCUCAUCUGUUUUGUCCUCUGGGCACAUAUCUGCGUGACUCAAUUUCACUUUCCAGGAAGAGGUAACCCUCCUGAGCCUCCUCCUGGGCUUCCUUCUUGGCAAGAAGAUCUCGUGCCUCCUAGGAAAGCACGCACAGGAAAUCGGGGGAGAAUGGAUUUGAAGCUUGUGGUUGAGUCACAUCAGUUAUCCUGACGUGGACUUCAGAUCUGAAAAGAUGAAAACGCCAUUCAUAUUUUGAUCACCGUGCCAAAGGUUACAUUGGAUAACUGGACAAAAUGUGCUGUAGAAACCUCUGCAAGUGAACUGCUCUGCUCGUCACCUCACGCAGGACUGGCACUUGAAAAUUCAGACAAGAAACCUAUAAAGCUUCGAGUCAGACUGCAAACACCGUUUUCAGGUUGUGAAAACACUGUUUUCGAGACUCGCGUUGGCAGGAAAGGUUUGAUCACAUGUAUAUAUCGGAACAGAAGUAGGAGUGAAAUUCCAAGAUACUUUGGCUUUCUGCUGUCAAAUAUUCCACAGCACAAAGGCAAUACUUAACACUUAGAGGGCGUAACAGCAGCAAAAUGUCCAAACGUCCUAUGUGUCCACAUGUCAAAUCUCUUCUGUGCAUCCUUGCUGUGUCCCCCCAGCAGACUCCCGCACCGCACUAAAUUACCACAAGCAAGCAGUAACCAUGGGCCAGACAUCUUGGAGGAAUGCUUACUUUGCUAUCCAAACCACUCUGAUGUACCGGAACUUUAUGUCACUCCAUAGCUAUGAGCAUGUAAUGGAGAGACUCGAAUGGCCUCAGGACCCGCACCUUGUGAGCCGGCAGGGAGCUGGGCCUGGAGACGUGGCUGCUGAUAUACGUGAAUAUAUGAACAGAACAAGAUGCCUGGCAUUGCCAAAGUACAUCCUGACCUCCCAUCCCUGCCUGACUCCCCCAGCAGUUUCCCUGGAGGUGUGAUUGUUUAUAUGGG